UCUGAUUGAUGUACAUUUGAUUGCUAGGUUCUGCUGAGACACCAUCGGUUUACCGCUCUCGACAAUGCGAACAUAAUGUUUAUCAUGGCAACCUUGGACAUGGAGAACACAUGCAGACGUUCCUGGUUGAGCAUGUCCAGUUUACUUCAAGAUCUGCACAACAUACCGAAUACAGACAGGGUUAUGGUUGUGGAAGUGAUAUGUUUGACCCGAGAAUAUAAUCACCAAAUUAUACCACAGCAACUAUACCACAAAUACAGCCUAUAGUCAUGUUGGUCAUAUAGGCUGCUAGGUAUACUUGUGACUAAAGUAGGAUCAAGGCAACCUAAUUAUCUCGCUUUUGAAAUUACUAGUUUUGUUAUUAUCUAUAUGUGUCUACUUGCAACAUAGAAGAGAAACACUAUGGAUAUUGAUCUGUGAUACUAAAACCAAGUUGUUUCUUAUUCCAUUUCAUAUUUACGUUUCGUAUGGGAACGUUUAAGGGGGGUAGAAUAUCCUUUUUUCCCGUGUAUAGCUAAACAAAAGCAACAAAACAGUUUCACUGAAGAAUGACAAAACAUGAAAGACUGACGUCUAGAUAUCAGAUGAAAAUGAUCCCUCUUGACACGAGCCACACUGCCAUAAUGAAUUCAUAAACAUGUGGAUUUUGUCAUAUCAAUACUGAUACAUUUUCAUUACAAAUAAAUUCAUUCAGGCGUGAACAAUAUUAGUACUAUAGGAAAGUGAAAUUGCAUAAGUACGAACAGGAAUCGCCAUGUGGCUACUUGUUUUUAAACAUGUGUUUAUAUCCGUUCAGAUGCUGCCGAUUCCCCAGACAGUGGAACUGCAUGGACUGGAAUAAUAGCAUGGACUGCAACAGGCACUCGGAAGCUUGCUUGUACUCACAUUUCCAGAAGGCCGGCUCUGCCUAUAAAAGAGUGAGACGCGGGCGAUUCGAGGUCUUCUACAACCACCCCUGCGUCUGUUGCGCUUGUUCAGACGGGCUACCUUUCUGAGAACUCCAACUUCCUGCCAGCUACCAUUACUGUUUCCAGAUUUAAGAACGACGCACAUGGCAACCAAGCCCAGCAGUCGAUACUGAAUAUUUGGUAGUCACACAAACAACAUCACUCACAGUUGAAGAUGUAUGAGAAUACCGAAAAUUAAUUAUAAUUUAUCCAUUAACCCAUGGUAUUACAUUUUCCUGAUUAAUGUGUAAGGAAGAGGUAGGAUAUAUUUUAGAAAAGGGAAAAAAAUAUUUAUAAAG